UAGGAGGAAGCAUGGCAUUGUG
rnacentral:piRNA from 1 species